GAUGAAUGCUAGCAGAACGCCUAACACAUGCAAGUCGAACGGACUUGUUGCUUCGGUAACAAGUUAGUGGCAAACGGGCGAGUAACACGUGCUUAAUUUGCCCCGAAGAGGUGGACAACUACGGAGACGUAGCUAAACCACCAUACGCUCAUGGGAAUGAAAAUACCAUGAGGAAACGAUUUAUCGCUUUGGGAGAAGGGCGCGGCCUAUCAGGUUGUUGGUGAGGUAACGGCUCACCAAGCCUAUGACGGGUAACCGGUCUGAGAGGAUGUCCGGUCGCAAUGGAACUGAGACACGGUCCAUACCCCUACGGGGGGCAGCAGUGGGGAAUCUUGGUCAAUGGGCGAAAGCCUGAACCAGCGAUUCUGCGUGAAGGAUGAAGCCUCGCGGGGUGUAAACUUCUUUUUUGAGGGAAGACGAAUGACGGUACCCCACGAAUAAGGGACGGCUAACUACGUGCCAGCAGCCGCGGUAAUACGUAGGUCCCAAGCAUUAUCCGGAUUUACUGGGCGUAAAGGGUCUGUAGCUGGUUAUAUAAGUCUAUUUUCAAAUCCCUUGGCUCAACUAAGGAAAGGGAAUGGAUACUAUAUAUCUGGAGGUUAUUAGGGGUUAGUAGAAUUCCCGGUGGAGGGGUGAAAUCCGUUGAUAUUGGGAGGAAUGCCGAAAGCGAAAGCAGCUAACUAUAAUUAUCCUGACAGUGAGAGACGAAAGCAUGGGUAGCAAACGGGAUUAGAUACCCCGGUAGUCCAUGCCGUAAACUAUGCUUGCUAAGUGUCUUAAGAGACUUGAUCUCUGGGGUACUGUAACCUAACGGGUUAAGCAAGCCGCCUGGGUAGUACAGUCGCAAGACUGAAACUCAAAGGAAUAGGCGGG
rnacentral:rRNA from 1 species